rnacentral:tRNA from 2 species
GCCCGGGUGGUGGAAUUGGUAGACACGCUAGACUCAAAAUCUAGUGGUAGCAAUACCGUGAGGGUUCGAGUCCCUCCCCGGGUA